AGCGGACCAGUUGAUUUCAGAAUUUUUGGCAUUUCUCUUCUUAUUUUUGGUCACAUUUCGAUUUGAGGAUUUUCUAUGCAUUUGGAUAUCUUUCUAGACUUUUUAACUAAAACUUUCCGGUAUUUUAAUAUAAGUAACGCUAUUCGGAGCGGAGGCAAAUAGAGUUCAGCAAAAUUGUUCCAGUCGUUCUAGAAUUACAAAUAGUGUGACUGACCCGACUUUUCUUUGUUUUUAUAUAUGAUGACUUGGUAAGCGUAAAAUAUUUAAAAAUAAUUAAAAUAUUGUUGCAACAUGGGAAAAAGGGCCAAUGCACUUUAUUACUGCAACAUGGAGCUGAAAUCUAGCAGGCAACAAAUUAGCGGGUCUCAAAAGUUAAACGAAAACUUUCAUUUGCAUAAAGUCAUGUACGUUGGAUAACUGUAGUUAUAUACAAAGGCAGAAUAUCAUUAUAAGAUAUAUCAUAAGCCAGCCAUUCACUCGAGUGCUGCGAGUUGUUUUGGUUUGUCAUUGAUCGAAUAAUCAAAUAAAAGUGAAGAAAAAAUAAUAAUAAAUAAAAAAACAUUUUCGUGUGCAACCUAUGACUAAAUUUGUUUUCGCUAUCACUGCACCAAUGAAAUCCACGAAUAAAAACCAUUGAUUGCAGGCAAACGCACACAAGCGAUGGCCGAACACGGACGAGCUAAAGCAUUAGCAUAAAACGAAGUUACAAAACGUUAAUCCGCGCUUGCUAUCGCUACGCCAGCGAAGCACUUAACUGUAACAUUAUAGCCGACAAGACAAGCUCGCCAACAGCGAGGGCAAAAACACUCACAUAAAAUAUACAUAUAUGAAUGUAGCAUACGCAUGUGUAUGUGUGAGAAAAGAAUGAAGCUGAACAUAGCCGACUGCCCAUCACGUCCCGUUGCGGCUGACCACGACUUGGUGAACGGCAUGCAACCUGUUGCACCACCACCACCGACCGCUAACGACUGGGCAAUUGCCGCUGCUUACUUUCCCGCAACAUUCGUAACAAAGUUGCCGCUUUUGUGUGGCAAUAAUGCAGAUUAAAGCAAAAGAAUAAUGGAAUCGUUAAAGCAACUGUCGAACUGGAGAAUGCCGCAGAAAGAAAGGCGCAGCGCAGAGCAUAAAGGAAAGAGAAAGAACUCUGCAUUGAUAUGCAACUGCAGUGAGCGAGGAGGGGCGGUGGGCACACAUGGCAGUCAAGACAAAAUAAUGAAAAGCAAACAGCGCUGCGUACGCCAAGGUGUUAAGCAUAAAUGCUUGUGAAGACUCACACCUGCUGAGCUCUUGCGCAGCCAGACAAUGAGACAUCAAAGCAGCAGUUGAUUUUAUGGUGGGGUGCAUCACCACCGCGUAACGGUGCAUUGAGCGCAGCUCACACAUCAGCGUCGGCUAUGAUAUUGAUUAGUAUUAGCAUAAUUAUAUGCUUGUGUCUAAUGUUUAGGUAGUUGAAACAUACAUACAUUGUGUACGCAGAUGCCUUGCAGCGAAAAGCAGUCGAAAGUAGACAAGUAAUUUGAGGGGAAAAAGCCAAAAAAAUUGUGAAUUAUAAUGAAGGAUACAUUUGAAGCUGCCUACAGUUGGGUAAAAUAUCCCUAAGUGUAAGUUUCGAAGACUUUAAGAUGCAUGCUUAAGAACCUCCAAAUCGAUGUUUAUGGCCUGGUGUUGUUCUGUUGGAACACAAUUAUUAUGCUAUUAGCAUAAGUUGGGCUGUUUCUGGGCGAUUGCUUCCUUUAGACGGUUCCAUUGUUAUUAAACAUGAAGUAUUUUCUGUUUUAUGGUCUUUAACGCGUGCUCAAACAAUACUGAUCACAGAACUGUCGGUGAAGUUGUUUUUAAUACGAAGUCUUAUCUUUUUAACGUAGCCCGAUCGCCGUUCUACAUUGCUGAUACAGAUUACUAAGGCCAUAUAUUUUUAACUAGGCUAUAUAUUUCAGUAAAUUUAAUUUAACAACUUGGCACUUUCGUUGCUUGCAUAACAUGUAGAAAUGUACAUUGAGAGCUUUAGUUUGGAUCAAAGAGUUCCUUUAAUGCAAAUCGUUUAAAAUCAACAAAUAGCACAAACGUGUUGUAAAAAUUUAACAUUUUUAUCAACUAUACAGCGUAUACUAAGUUUGCCACAAUGUUUGUAACAUCCAGAAGGAAAAUUCGAAGACCCUAUAAAGUAUAUAAUCCAAGUAAAGGUACUUUUGUCAAUAGCCUUUUUUUGACAAAUCACGCGUGAGUCGUGUCAAGCUGUUAUUAUAUUUUUUUUAAGUAUUGUUCACCAUUCCAUUAUGGAAAGACUUACACACAAUCAUUAUUGAAUAAUAAUUCGACCGAAUAGACCAAGUCCAGCACGCAGCGAAGAAAUUAUAGCGGCCGUAACUGAGAGUGUACACGAAGACCGUGGAGAGUCAAUUCGAAGGCAAUGGCAAACAUAAUGCAAUCUCAUACAAACUCAACAAUCGAAAUCAAGUUCUUGCAAGAAAUCUGUUAUAUUAGUGAAUAGAGUUUUGAAAGUAUUUCUAUAACUUGAUCUGUCAUAGCAUCUCUGCUUUAACUAAUUAAAAACAAUGAUUAUUGGUUUGAA